rnacentral:rRNA from 1 species
UACGUAGGGGGCAAGCGUUGUCCGGAAUCAUUGGGCGUAAAGCGCGUGUAGGCGGCUCCGUAAGUCCGUUGUGAAAGUCCAGGGCUCAACCCUGGAAUGCCGAUGGAUACUGCGGAGCUAGAGUCCGGAGGAGGCGAGUGGAAUUCCUGGUGUAGCGGUGAAAUGCGCAGAUAUCAGGAGGAACACCAAUGGCGAAGGCAGCUCGCUGGGACGGUACUGACGCUGAGACGCGAAAGCGUGGGGAGCAAACAGG